ensembl:antisense Slc6a19os solute carrier family 6 (neurotransmitter transporter), member 19, opposite strand
GCAGGACACCUUUAGUGGAACAAGGGUCAGAGCCUGGGGCUUUCCGAAGAGGGGGUGCCGCUGGGGAGACAUGGGGCCUCACUGGGAAAGCCAAGGUUCUCUUAAAGGCUGCCACACAGGCUGAGGCUCGUGAGUCACCGAGUACAGCAGCUCCUCUCUGCGCAUGCUGGUCCAGGGCCAGUCAGGAGUCCAACAAGACUGGCUCCGUCCAUGCCCUGUCCUCUAAGGAUCACCCUUGAGAACCAGCUUUCCUUCUUCCAACAGGAUCAUGCAGUCCCACCUUCAAAGUGGGCCCAGGGCAGCCUCACCCAGCCUUCAGGAAUUUGUUUCUUAGCAUCCUGACAGAACAAGAAGUCUUCUGUGUCCAAAAGAUGAUGCUCUUUCAGACUGCAUGUCCACCCAGCUCUGUGGUCAGGACCCUGACGUCUGUAACAUCUGCUUGGUUACUAUAGCUGAAGAAGAGGUCAGCCACAUGCCCUCAGUCUCACCAAUGGACAGUGCUUCUGCAUUACCAGACCCAAGAGCUGGUCCCCAAGUGGUCAACAUUGUGAACAUUCCUGGCCUUCAGAGAUACUUGUGUGGCACUCUAGUUCCUAUCAGGGUGCUAGGAAGCAGAAGGACCAUUGGUAAGGAUGCCUGUCCCUGACCUUGGCUGUCUCAGGGUUUCUUCUCAACUCUCCCAUCCUUACCCUCCUCCACGAAGAAGCAUGACUUCUUCUAUUGGGUGGGGACAGUUGCAGAGAGGCUACUCUUUCAGGAAGAGGAAAAUGUCAUGGAACCCAGGCUUGGCCAUUGAUCCCUGUGUCAUACACUACCCUUGUUCCACCAAAGCAGGUCUCAAGGACACCACCAGCCCAAGGUUAAAUGUCCCUAAAGGACCUAGCAUUCUGCAACCUCUACCCAGAUAUAAGCAACAGGUGUGGAAGGGCAUUUGGCAUGCUCCCGUGACCUAUAGAGGGAGGGCCAAAACUCACACUCUUAAGGGACAGUCAUUCACAGUAACACUCCAUCUUCAGUGGCUAACAGCCACCCAGGCCUGUGUUGACCAAAGUGAAUGGCUGGGGCUUGAGUCAUUCUUGGCUGCACUGAGGAGUGAACAGGGAGAGGAGUUUGAAGUCCAGCCAUGAUGCCCCCAACAAUAUCCACCUUGUGUCUUUCUUAUGAGAGCAGAGGCAGAAAUUGGGUGAGGAGCUGGAACAGGAUGCCCAUCACAAAGACUAAGCAGUGAUGUUCUGAAAACUCCAGUGCCUGGGCCACAAGGCAAAGAGGAGGAUCCACUCUGAUGGCUCUCUGGAGCCCUCCUUUGUAGGGCCUGUGGGAAGGGCUAAAUUGGAGGAAGGCCAUGGAGGAAAGCCAUCAGAAGAAGGCUCGUGAUGGGCAGUCAUUAACCUUUGUCUGAAGCAGUUUGUUUACAGGGGAGCCGUGUUUGGAGGCCAGAGUUGCUGAGCAGCACUCGGGAGUCACAAGACUCCGGAUACACCAGCCUCUGCUAAGCUCAGGAUUGACUCUGAGCCCGCAGUUAAGCCCAUGACAUUAGCCUCACCCCUUAAAGUCAUCUCUGC